rnacentral:rRNA from 1 species
AUUCAGUUGGGUUUCUGUGGCAGCACUGGCCGAUUGACCAAAACGGAUCCCAGAACUGGGCCGGGUCGGCUGUGCAGGUCACGGUUCUCGACGCAUUUUUUCCCGCUCUGAGGACGCCGUAGCCGGUUGGGAAGACUCGACGGACUAAAGGACUUACGCUGGCAGGUGGCCGGUGGCGUGGCUUCGGCUGUGUCGUCGGUUGUUAGCCUGUUCGUCCGGUCUCGUCGCCCGACCGAGGUUUUUGUGGCCCGAAUGGACCCGAUUUUAUGUCCGCCUCCUCCCUUUAGCAGGAGAGCCGGGAUUAGAACGCAGCAAGCGUUCGUAGGUGGUGCGGCCGCACUCUCUGACUGAGUGGGCCAGUGCCAUCGCGACGUUGGUGAGCUACGUCGUGCCCGUGGGAGUGCUGGCGGCUAGCGGCGAGUAGAUCGGUCACCCACCCGACCCGUCUUGAAACACGGACCAAGGAGUCUAACAUGUGCGCGAGUCAAUGGGUCUUGAUUAGGCCCAGAGGCGCAAUGAAAGCAAAGGGCGGCAGAACGCCGUCUGAGUUGGGAUCCUGGGGCUUCCGCGUCCAAGGAGCACCAACGACCCGUCCUGUCCGAUUUAUCUCGGUUGGGCGGAGUAUGAGCGUACACGUUGGGACCCGAAAGAUGGUGAACUAUGCCCGGGCAGGACGAGGCCAGAGGAAACUCUGGUGGAGGUCCGUAGCGGUUCUGACGUGCAAAU